rnacentral:rRNA from 1 species
UACGAAAGGUGCAAGCGUUAUCCGGAAUUAUUGGGCGUAAAGAGCUCGUAGGCGGUUUGUCGCGUCUGCCGUGAAAGUCCGGGGCUCAACUCCGGAUCUGUGGUGGGUACGGGCAGACUAGAGUGAUGUAGGGGAGACUGGAAUUCCUGGUGUAGCGGUGAAAUGCGCAGAUAUCAGGAGGAACACCGAUGGCGAAGGCAGGUCUCUGGGCAUUAACUGACGCUGAGGAGCGAAAGCGUGGGGAGCGAACAGG